rnacentral:lncRNA from 1 species
GGUGAAAGCUGUAGGAACAAGUCUUCCGCUUCAACUCUGGGACUGUUGCCAUCUCUAUCAGUGAACAAGCUCUGGAAUGUACCUGAGAAAUGAUAUGCAUGCAGGGAUUAGUUUUUUGUUUUUUUCUUUUUCUUUUUUUUUUUGUAUCCUUUUUUUAUUGCGUUUCUUUUGAAAAAUAAAUAUGCUAUGAUGCAAAUGAUGCAGACACGACUGGUUGGCUGUGUCUAUCGGAACACAGGAUCAAAGCUUCGGCUUGAACUCGGAACCACAAAUUCAUCUGAAACCCAAAGUCAUCUGAGACCCCAAAUUUCUGAACCAAUAGUCACCAACAGGAUCACAAGUCACCAACAAGUCACCAACAAGUCACCAACUGUACCUGUAAUAAUGAUAAUUCCCUCCCCACUCACGGGUGUCAUCUAGGCCAGGGUAAAGGCUGAGAGAAACGCAGCAUAAAUAACCUUUCGCAGAACAUCAUCAUAUACACACCCGAAGUAUGUAACGAUAAUGUCCCACCAGGGUCUGAACUGCUCGUGAUAUC